UAAAUCUACUCCCCCUUCUCCCUACACCAUCAUCUCAUUCACACAGUGAGACCCUUCAAUUCUGUUCCUAGAAGCAUUUCAGAGAAUGCUACUGUUAUAAACAGAUAGUUAAGGGUUAAUGUCUCUUACCUGUAAAGGGUUAACAAGCUCAGUGAACCUGGCUGACACCUGACCAAAGGACCAAUCAGGGGAUAAGAUACUUUCAAAUCUUGGUGGAGAGAAGUCUUUGUUUGUGCUGUUUGUUUUGUUCUUUGUUCUCAGAGUUAAGGGGCCAGACGUGCAACCAGAUCUUUCUCCAAUCUUUCUGAAACAGUCUCUCAUGUUCAAAAUAGUGAGUAUUAGAUAGAAGGCGGAUUAGUCUUUAUGGUUGUUUUCUUUAUUUGCAAAUGUGUUUUUGCUGGAUGGAUAUUUUACCUGUUUGCUGUAACUUGUAUCUUAAGCUAGAGGGGAGGGAAUCCCUCUAGCCUAUGUAAAGCUAAAGACCCUGUAAACAUUUUCCAUCUUGAUUUUACAGAGAAUUUUUUUUUAUUUCUUUAAUUAAAAGCUUUCUUUUUUCAGAA